AAAAAAAAAAAAAAAACAAAAAAAAAGUUUGAGCGAGAGAGAGAGAGUGAGAGAGAGAGAGAGCGUUCUCUAGCUAACGGCGUUGGGUCUCCCUCGUCAUCAAGCGCUCUCGUCGAUGAUGAUUUUUGAAGAAGGAGGAAGAACACAAAUUAGGGUUAGUGUUGAUGAUGACUCAAACAACAACAACGGACAUCGCAACAAACCAUCUUCUAAUUCUCUCUAUUUGCGGGUCGUGGUUUCAAUUAUAAACGCCAAACGAUGUCUGACAUGGUUUGAACUUUGAAGGUGAAGACGAAGAAGAAGACUCUUGACUCCUUGAGGAACAAACCCGUCAGAUCACACAGAGACGUCUUCUAUUUCUUUGACGAAAGGAGUUUUUAAGCAGAUCGGAGAUGGUUUGAAGAAUGAUGAAGGAUACUCAAUACUGCUUAGGGUUUUCUUUCUAUCAUCAGCACCACAAUCCAUAAGUGAAGACCGAGAGAAUGAUCAGUUUGAAUCAACGAUGAAGAGGAAGAAGACUCACACUGCCCCGACACCAUAAGUAUUAGACUGAUUUGACGACAGCCAAGUAAUAAAGAUCAGAGAUGGUUUGAAGAAUGAUGAAGAAGACGACUCAAGACUGUUUAAGGACUUUCAUCUUUAAACAUUGGCCAAGUAACCAGCCUGCAUACAGGAAGACAGGAAUCUUCUAUUGCUUUAACAAAAGAUGUGUCUAACUAAGCAGAUCCAGAGAGGUAUGAUUUGAAGAAUGAAUGCAACUUUCAUUAUAAAAACUUGGCCGAGGGGCGUGCUCACGGUUCUGAUUCUUUCCUCCGAUGAUCGGAGGUAUGUUGUUUGGUUUGAAGAAUGAAGUUCCUUUUCCUCCGAUGGAGAAAAAUGCUCUGUUUUCUCUAUCGGAGGUAUGUGGUUUGGUCUCUAGAAUGAAUGGAGGAAAAUUCUCUGUUUUCUCUAAACUAAAUCUUCAAACAAUGGCAAGGACUAACCAGCAUGCAUGAGACAUAUUCAAUAGCUUCAACGGAAGUUUCUAAGCAGGUACGUAGCUUCACAAGGAUCUAAGCGGAAAGAGGAUGUUGCUGCACAAGCCGGAAUUGUUGUUAAGGCGAAAGUGAGUCAAAAUUUGAAGUUCUGACCCGCGGAUGAUGAUGACCCUAACAACAAGAAUAGUAAAAACCCUCUUCGUAUGAAUUAGCUGGAGGAUACGCUGGGCAAGUGAUGGAUGAUUGGAGGAGGACGACGUUACAUGUUCAUUUCCAUGACGUUUCUAUCAUCUGAUUUGACGAGGACCAAGUAAACAAGAUCAGUUUGGAUAACGAUGAAGAAGUAGACUCAGAUUGGUUAAGGAAUUUCAUCUUUAAACACCGGCAAGGGAGGGCUAAGUAACCAGCCAGCAUACAGAGAGACAUCUUCAAUUGCUUUAACAAAAUAAAUGUCUAACUAAGCAGGUCAGUUUGAAUAACGAUGAAGAAGAAGAAGACUCACACUGCUUAAGGUUUUGUUUCUGUCAUCAACACCACAAUCCAUCAGAGAUGGUUUGAAGAAUGGUGAAAAAGACGACUCAGACUGCUUAAGGUUUUGUUUGUUGUUUCAAGGAUUUUUAUCUUUAAACAAUGGCAAGGGAGGGCUAAGUAACCAUCCUGCAAUACAGGGAGACAUCUUCAAUUGCUUUAAGUAAUGAACCGCAGCAACAAUUCAGAUCGGAUAGAAAUACUGAUAUAUGUUUUCUUUUAUGGUUCGUGUUGUGUUGCUGCGGUUCUCUAGAUUGAGAUAUUAUAUGGUUCCUUUACCUCCGAUGGAAAAAAUCCUCUUCUUGCUUUUGCAGCCAGUCUAUUGGAAGGUGUCCUAGAAUUGUCGUCACCACUAUCAUUAACAGACUUUCAGGCGUUAGAUCAGAGAUGGUUUCAAGAAUUAUUAAGAAGACGACUCAGACUGCUCAAGGAAUUUCAUCAUCCUUAAACUAUGGCAAGGGAGGGCUAAGUAACCAGCCUGCAUUACAGAGGGACAUCUUCUAUUGCUUUAACUAAUGAAGUGUCUAACUAAGCAGAACAGAAAGAUAUGGUUUGAAGAAUGAACGCAGUUUCAUAAUAAAAACUUGGCCGAGGGGCGUGCUCUCUCACGGAUCUGAAGCGGAGAGAGGAUGCUGCUGCACAAGGAUCUGAAGCGGAAAGAGGAUGCUGCUGCCUAAGAUCAGUUUGAAUAACGAUGAAGAAGAAGAAGACUCACACUGCUUAAGGUUUUGUUUCUGUCAUCAACACCACAAUCCAUCAGAGCUGGUUUGAAGAAUGGUGAAGAAGACGACUCAGACUGCUUAAGGUUUUGUUUAUUGUUUCAGGGUUCACUUUCUUCCCUUUAACGAUGAUGAAGAAGACUCUGACUGCUUGAGGAACAAACCCGUCAGCUCACACAGAGAGAGGCAUCGUCUAAAUAGAUCACAGAGACAUGUAACCAAGCCACAUCACACAGAGACAUCUUCUAUUGCUUUAACGAAACAAGUGUUUUGAGCAGAUCGGGGAUGGUUUGAAGAAUGUUGAAGAAGAUGACUCAAGACUGCUUUAUGGUGUUUGUGUUUUUGUUGGAAGCGAAUCAAUGGAGGCGCUAACUCCACCCGCUUCUGAAUUUUCACUCCUCAUCCUCAUACGGUUAGCAACGUGGCGGCGGACCUACAGGUUCGACGGCGGAAGAGGCCAUCCCAAAGCCGGUUUGUUACUUGUUCCCAACGCACCGAAUCAACGAGACAUGUGGGCUUCGGACAACAACGAAUGGGCUUUUUCUUUACCAAACAACAACAGUCCAUCAGCAUAAGAGCAACGAAGAGACCACCCACCAAGCACAAGGGUUUGUUGUUUGUUUGUUACUCUCAUUCUUUAACUUCAAAUACCGGUCUUCUCUUCUUUGUCUUGGCCGCGCCGGAGGAGAAGCAAGUCGGAAUUCAAAUUUGAAACAGAUUGCAAAAAACCGUAUGAAGAAGCUACAACUAACGAACGAACGCGAUUGUGUCUGCUGCUUUGUUUGACAUCAUCAGGAUGGAGUUUUUGGUUGCCUAUGUUGUUGUUACUUGGGAGAUUUAUAACGAAGCAAAGACGCGUCCUUGUAUUUUGCCAUUAUAACUCAGAUUCCAGUUUCAAACGCCACUUGUCUUACCACCAGUUUAUGUUUAUCUAUGUUCUUCUGUAAUUAAUUGUAGAUUUUACUUUGGAUUUUGUGUUCUUUUUUUCUUUUUAUUUCCAGCUAUAAUGGUGGACUGGACGACAUGAUUGACACAGCAGCAGGCAAUAGCUAAGCUCUUACAUCAUAGUGCAGCUGUGCAAAUGCCCAUUGGUCUAGAAGAAGCUUUCCAGGGUCUUAUAGACCUUAUUCAAUGAAAAUGUUCUGGCUGGUGAUAUUCCUGCUGAUAUGGAAGGUUUGGUUGCAGACAAGAGGCGAGAAACGUUUGAAACAGUCUCUGAAGUUGAUGAUCUAAACGAUGAGCCUCUCUAUCUAAAGGUAACCUUGGCUGGAUCUCCAGAUGGACCUCUUGUGGCGCUUGCUUUUAAACUAAUGGAGGGUCGUUUUGGUCAGCUGACAUAUUUGAGAGUUUAUGAAGGGUGAUUUUAUCAUAAAUGUCAAUACUGGAAAAAGAAUUUAAGGUCUUCUGGGGUUUGGACAAAACCGCUUACCCAGAGAAAACAUUAUUCCUCUGUUAAUUAGUUGAUUUCCUACUCAAAGUAUUCAACGGCAUUGGAAUCUUUCUAUGAGAAGUUCGAUCCAGAUUUCAUCAACAUCAGGACAAAGGCCAUAGAGGGUGUUUUUGGAAGCUUAUUAUUUAUGAUCCGAUCAUCCCCGCUUUUGAAUUUUCACUACUCCUCCUACGGAUCUGCUAAGUUUGGGCUCCUCUGAUGCACAAGGCUGGACAUGUGGUUUGUUUAGUUGUUUCCUCCUCUUUCCCUUUGCAAUGGUGUUCAUAUUUUAGGUGUUGGAGUGUCCAUGAAUAAGAAUCGUAGCAUCUCCAUCUUCAGCUACAACCCCCUGAUAUCAACAAAUGGGUGGGUGAGGCUGAAAAGCUAGUUAAAACGCUAUAUCAAGCUACAAUAUCCAGGCAACCUUCUGUGAUAUUCAGUUACUGUGGUGUUACCCUUGUUUAAACUGGGAACAGUUCUUCCUGAACGUCAAGUAACUCUUGAAUGCAGACCUUCUUUGAGAACACUUUGAUGAAUCACCAUGGGGAAUAUUACUUACGUUGCUCCAGCUGGUCAUUGGUCAAUAUUCCCUUGAGGAAACAGUUGAUGAUGUACUCACAGAGAAAUUUAUAAACGAUGAGCCUGUAUCGGCUUUUGAGGAAGAGAUGGUUCCGGAUAAUAGAUAGAUAUCGUUGGCAACUUAUGUUAUUGAAAUUGUUGAUUUCACUUAAAAAGAUAUCAAUCCUGAACGAAUGUUGAAACGCCCCCGAUCGCAGAAAAACUAACCCUCUCUGGACUAAGGAGGGACUAUUGUUGGACAUGGGCUGCGCCCAAUAUGCCACUAGGCCCAACAAGACAAACUAACUGCGAUUUCAGCCCGACAAAAUUGGAUGCAAAUCAUUAAUAAUCCGUAAAGGCUAAUCUCGGGAAUUUACGACAGAAACUCUAGAGAACUCUCGGUCAACAGUCCUCUAUAUAAAGAAACAGUACUCGUUGGGGAAUAGACAUCUGACUCGCGUACAAUACCUCUAGAGCAAUACUUUGCGUCUAAGAACUGUUAUUAUUUUCUGUAUAAUUCCUUUUAGCUUCCGAGCUUGUCAUUAUUAGCUUGUUAGCUUAAUCUUGACUCGUUUUAGUGACGACCUCACGUCUUUAUCGUUAAUAAAAAAAUCAAUUUCACUCUUC